UACGUAGGUCCCGAGCGUUAUCCGGAUUUACUGGGUGUAAAGGGAGCGCAGGCGGCACGGCAAGCCUGAUGUGAAAGCCCGCGGCCCAACCGCGGGACUGCAUUGGGAACUACCGGACUGGAGUGCCGGAGAGGUAGGCGGAAUUCCUAGUGUAGCGGUGAAAUGCGUAGAUAUUAGGAGGAACACCAGUGGCGAAGGCGGCCUACUGGACGGUGACUGACGCUGAGGCUCGAAAGCGUGGGGAGCAAACAGG
rnacentral:rRNA from 1 species